AGGCCGGUGUGUGAAGGCAUGGGCUGAAGGCAAGGGAAUUAUUUACAAAUUCGACAUCCUUUACAGGCUAAGUGGCUUACAGUGAGGCUGCUCUGAACACAAAAAGCUUUUUUUUUUUUGGUCUAGAUAUUGGGGAUCCAAGACAUGUGUUGCUUUGAGGCAUUGAUUCUGUGAAAAACUGGUGCCAGGCACAUUGCUCAACUCCGGUCGGAACAAAGCAGCGUGGAAUAGAGUAGACUUUUAUUACUAAGAAGUUUGGUUAGAUGAAUUAAUAAGUCUUUUCCACUUUAAUUUCAGAGCCAUGGAAAUGCUUUUUAAAAUGAAGAAUAGGUCUAUUUUUAAAUGUCAAGCUGCCUAUUUCAGGAGAGGAGAGAGGGGGAGAAGCUAAUUCUUAAGACACAAAACACUUGAUAGCUCCACUAGAUGCACCAGAUGUUUUUUUUCUUACUAAAUGUGAAAGAGCUUCCUGUAUCGAUCUCAGGGAUUGACGGUUUGAAUAUUCUUCAGUGAAUCGCAGGAAAGCUACGGGAAGCAUCGCGUUCGUUCUUUGGUUUGUCAGAGGUGAGGACUGGGAACUCCAGAUUUCAGAUGAAGUGGACUCUGGUCUGUUCUCCUUAGAACAAAGGACAAACAAAAAGGACAUUUGUGAUCACUCCUACUUCUUCUGGAGAAUUUCCUCCAGCAAACUUCUUCCCGAGUACUCUUCAGCUGACCUACCCGUCUUUUGCAGAAGCCAGAUCCAAACGGAUCUGGUAGAGCAGGCGUGUGCUGUAGAUCAGCUUUGGAAGGUUGAAACGUGGCUUUCCUGGAGGCUUUAUGGGCGCUUUCACUACUGAGUAGCUUCUGUUUUUAACAAUCAUUCUGCCCCUAUCACAAACUCAGCUUUUGUUAAUAUAACCCUCAUUUGAGUGCCAAAUGUUGCAUUAUAGCAAGGAUUUUGUCCAAAGCAGUGACUUAAUGUUUCUGAAUUGGCCAGUUCAUAAAGUGGUCUGCUGGUCUCAUGUGCUGUACUCUCGCGGUCAGUAUCACAACAAUAGCUAUGGGCAUCUGAGUUUUCUGUUUCUUAGCCUCUAGCCUAAAUUCCUUCAGUAAGUAUGAGGGGAGCAUUUGAAAGGCUGUGAACUGAACUGCUUGCUAACAUAUAGAGAUGUCAAACAGAAUAAGUUUCAGUGCUGACUGAGGCGGUAAAGUUGCAUAUGUUAAAAGAAUGGUCUGUGUGACAGAUAAUAGAUUCACUGGAAAAUGCAGUGUGCCUCGGUUAAAUAAUGAAAAGGCAGGAAAUUACCACCUGAGUCAUAACACACUGUAACUCCAUCCACUUGCUCGCCUUUCUCAAGCACCUGUGAUCUGAAGGUUGUACGCAGCCACUGGUGUGUGCCCCCAGAGGUCAGCCAGGCUGUUUUCUGUUCCCCCAUGCCCCCAAUACCGUGUUUUCCCCCUCGCUAUUCUCAGUUUAAAGGGAUGUAAAGGAAGUGAGUAGGAGGGAUUCUGCUUGUGGUAUCAUGCUGUGCAGUUAUUGGGGACGUAGUCUAUAUGGAAAUGCGUAGCUUUUCCGACACUGCUUAAUGAAAUCUACGCUAUAAAACACCCAGACAAAUAGCAGGUUAUCAGGAAUAGGCAUUUCCGAUUUUGCUUUGCAGCUGUGAGGCAUUGCACCUGCAAUACGUGCUGCUUAAUGACAGCAGCAAGAGCCGGGAUGCGGUGCAGAGACACAGCUCUGCCUGUCCUCCCCCGAGAAGGCAAAUUGCUGCGGGUACCGCUGGGGCUGUGCCUCUGCUGCUCUCGGCGUCGUACCCAUUAAAGCUUUCCUCGUCUGGUGAAACUCGGGUGCCUGCC
ensembl:lncRNA